rnacentral:misc_RNA from 1 species
CGAAAGAUAGAUGGCUCCCUCACGACUGCUCGUGCGCUCGUGACAAAGCCGAUGCUGGAAUUUACACAAAGCAUCCAGACUGCGAUAGAUAUGGGGCUUACGCCGCUCGCCCGAAGGUCUAAGAUGAGAUGGAACACAUCAACGGUUACUUCUGAAUCAAAAGAACUGAGUGGAUAUGAAUGAGAUCCAACUCUUCAAAAACUGCUACGUAGAUUUAAGUUUCUAUGAAUUAUAUAUUUACCAAAAAAAUGACCUAUGCUGUGACAAACUUUGUUAGAGAACAGCAAUAAUAAAAUGAAUCUAGCUUAAAAUAUUUGUCCAUUCACUAUUAAGCUCUUACAUAGGAUAAGCAACUCUGCUUGAUCUAUAACUUAAAUUCUUGAAACACACACGUUUUAAAAGUAAAUUGUUUUGGUCUUCAAAUGGAAAUGUGUGCAAAGAAAUGUUUUCCAUAAUUGACUUUUUUGUUGCCUUAUUAAAUAAUGUUUCGGUCUAUUGCCCAAUAACGUAGUGUUUGCCCGACAUAAAAUGUACAAAUCAACAAAAAAGUGACAGGAAGUUUUGAAUUCCUCGCAGUACAAUAAGAAAAGGUCU